UUGUAUUUUGAGACAGGGUCUCACUUUGUAAC
rnacentral:piRNA from 1 species